CAAAAACCAAAAAAUGAUGAAAAUUGUGCAAAGAAAACCAAUAAUAAAAACGCAAAGAAAACCUUGAGUUUUUUUGGAGCAAAACAAAAACCGUGAGCUUGGCCUGGGAAUUAAUUGAAUCAGAAUCUUUUUCAAUAAAUAAAGUGCACAAAUUGAUUUAAAUAAAAAAGAUACAAAUUAUCGGUAAGAGUAGGAAAUUAACUUUUAUAGCUAUAAAUUAAUUUAAUACCAAAAUAUUAAGAAAUGAUUUCAUUUGAUAUUAUUUUUACGUCUGUUUGCUAUAUUUCUAGGCGUUUAAUGAAUAUAACUUGACUUUGAGAUGCAAAUGUGUGCAAUAAUGGCCAGAAAUGCAUAGUAGAAGAGUGUGAGAAUGGCAGGAGCUACAAAUCCAUGUCAACUUUUCUCCACUCUAUUUUUAUACUUGGUUAUUUUCUAUUACUUAUUCUAAAUCUAUGUCAAAAUUUGGCAUCUUUCCGAAUCUGUUUGCUACAUUUUAGCCAUUAAGUGCAUUUCUACACAUUUAACAAAUAUAAUUCAAAUUUGAAUUCAAGUGGUAAAAGGUUGGGAAAAUUGGGUUGAAAAAACAUACUCAUGUUCCCGAGUCUAUGUUUAGGCCUUAUACAAGAAAAUGAAAUCAAUUCGAAACACGAGGGUGCCAAGACUCCGCCCCAAACAUGGAGUUUUCUGUUUUUUAAUUUCAAGGGUGCCAAGACUCAAUCCUGAACUCAAUGCGCACCGUCGCCGUGGUGGCAGUGGCCAUGGCGGACGUGGCCGAAACGACAGUGGGCGCGACGAGGCGUCCGACGGUCGUGGCCAGCACCCUUGGGUGGGGUACUUUGACCCCAUGGGGUGCGUCGUUCCCACCCCCUCGUGCGCCCUGGGUGCCCCCAAACUCUGCAGGCAUCCUCGGGUCCCGACUUGGUGCGUCAACGCAGGCGUACCCGGUCAUGUACUCUGGCACGCAUCCUGCUCCGUACGCCGCCCCUUCGUACGCCCCCCUCCAUACGUCGCGUUUCCCCCAACGCUAAAGUGGAUAAUGGACACAUGAGUUGCGUCUCACGUCACCGGGGACUCAGGUAGCCUCACCUUGUCUCGUUCCCCAUUAGCGUCUUAUUCUCGUUCCAUAAUAGUCGGUAAUGAGGCCUGCCUUCCUGUUGUUGCCAUCGGUAGCGCUCUCCUCCCCACUCGCCCAUUUCAUCUUUCCAAAAUCCUUCUCUUGCCUAAUAUUGUUAAGAACCUUAUUUUAGUCCGACAAUUUACUCGUGAAAACCUUGUUUCUGUGAAAUUUGACCAUGCUGGUUUUUCCGUGAAGGAUCUGGUCAACAAGGCCCUUCUUUUGAGGUGCAAUAGUGGAGGUGAUCUCUAUCCGUUUUCAAGCAAUAAUGGCCGCUCCUCUCCGAUGGUCCUCACCGUCCAGCCGUCCAACUUGUCGCAGACUUGGCCACCCCAGCUCAUCUACUUUAGCUCAUUUUCCCCUUGAUUUCUUAGACUCAUGUAAUAAAGAUGUCCAUGACUCCAUGCUUUGUACUGCAUGCUAGCUUGGCAAAUAUACUCGCCUCCCCUUCCCCACCUCUACAUCGUUCGCCACCGCGCCUUUUCAAUUAGUCCACUGCGAUUUAUGGACAUCGCCAGUUGUUAGCUUUUCCGGUUAUAAUUAUUACCUUGUCAUAUUGGAUGAUUUUUCACAUUAUUCAUGGACAUUUCUUUGCGAGCCAAAUCUGAUACGUCUCGAGCAUGGAGUUUUGUUUUUUAAUUUUGAAAUGCAACCUAACUCCAAAAAGCAUGAAAGUUCAUGUUGGAAAAAAUGUUAAGACGUUUGUCUUCAAAUAAAGUACAAAAGAAAUAGAUUCCAUUUCAUUUAUCCAUGUCCAAGAACGAAUUAAAUUUAGUAAAAUAAAACUAAAAUAAGGAAAAAAAAAGCCACAAAAAUAGUAGUACGUACGUCGGAUUUGAACAAGGACCUCAUUUACAUUUCUAACGCCACAAAACUACAGUUUUAAUCUAAACACACACCGGCCUUUUUAUAGUAGUAGAAGAUAUUUUCUAGCAUGCUGCCUUCUGAUUGGCUGAACCAGACCUCCCACGGAUCACGCCUCUCCACCGUCCAUCCUUAGUUGAUUCAACGGUGCCCGCUCCUUCUACUCUCUAUCUGUGCUUUCCCUGAUUCUUAUCCUCUCACAGCCACACGAACGAGAGCUCCAUGACAGCAGCAGCCGCGCCCGAGGAAAUCCACAGCUCGCAGCCAUCGGACGUCGCCGUCCGCGCGGAGUGCCGCCGCCCGAACCUCCCACCACAGCACGCCGCAAUGGAGGCCGACCGCCCAUGGCAUCGCCCGAGCUCACCUCCCAGCAGUCAUUCUCCUUUGAAUUCGUCGGGAUCCGGCUGGAUCCGGACGCCAGCGCCCCGUUCCUACCUCCCCGCCUCGCUUGGGUCGUCGGCCAGCUCGACGAUGUCAGACUGCUCGCGGGAUCCAGCGCCACCGCUGGCUGGCCACUUCCUCCUGGAGGAGACGCCCCCACAUCGGCGCCUCCCCAUAUGAGCAGCAGCAGCGAAUGCCUCGCUAAGGGCAUCUCUGGUGGUGUUUUUUAUAAAUUGUUUUAAAGAAGUUUGCCAGAUCUGUGACUGAAAAACAAUGGCGUUGAACUCCGAUUGACGUCCCGCGAAGGCUGGCGGCGCUUGAUGUGGUGGCUGGAGAAUAUCUCUGGGCAAAACAGUAGGCCAGAUCUAGGGGGAAAAAUCUGUAAUUCCAAGUUUUUGAUUGUGUAUUUCUUCCUUUUGGUAAAAAUAAAAUUUAGUUAUCUAGUA